CAUGCAAGUCGAUCCCGUAUUGGGGGCACCUCCAAGAUGAGUGGCGAACGGGUGAGUAACACGUGGGUAAUCUCCCCCCGAGUGAGGAAUAACCCCGCGAAGGCGGGUCUAAUACUGCAUAACACUCCGGGGCAUAAGCUUCCGGAGUCAAAGCCGUAAGGCGCUUGGGGAUGAGCUUGCGUCCUAUUAGCUAGUUGGUAGGGUAACGGCCUACCAAGGUUAUGAUGGGUAGCCGGCCUGAGAGGGUGUACGGCCACACUGGGACUGGGACACGGCCCAGACUCCUACGGGAGGCAGCAGUGAGGAAUUUUGCGCAAUGGGCGAAAGCCUGACGCAGCGACGCCGCGUGGAGGAUGAGGGCCUUCGGGUUGUAAACUCCUGUCAGAGGAGAAGAAAUCCCGAGUAAUCGGGUUUGACGG
rnacentral:rRNA from 1 species